AACGAACGCUGGCGGCAUGCCUAACACAUGCAAGUCGAACGAUGCCUUCGGGCAUAGUGGCGCACGGGUGCGUAACGCGUGGGAAUCUGCCUUUCGGUUCGGAAUAACUCAGGGAAACUUGAGCUAAUACCGGAUAACGUCGCAAGACCAAAGAUUUAUCACCGAAAGAUGAGCCCGCGUAGGAUUAGCUAGUUGGUGAGGUAAAGGCUCACCAAGGCGACGAUCCUUAGCUGGUCUGAGAGGAUGAUCAGCCACACUGGGACUGAGACACGGCCCAGACUCCUACGGGAGGCAGCAGUGGGGAAUAUUGGACAAUGGGCGAAAGCCUGAUCCAGCAAUGCCGCGUGAGUGAUGAAGGCCUUAGGGUUGUAAAGCUCUUUUACCCGGGAAGAUAAUGACGGUACCGGGAGAAUAAGCUCCGGCUAACUCCGUG
rnacentral:rRNA from 1 species